rnacentral:rRNA from 1 species
UAAGGAAUAUUGGUCAAUGGACGCAAGUCUGAACCAGCCAUGCCGCGUGAAGGAUGAAGGUCCUCUGGAUUGUAAACUUCUUUUAUCUGGGACGAAAACGGGAUUUUUAUCUCAAUUGACGGUACCAGAGGAAUAAGCACCGGCUAACUCCGUGCCAGCAGCCGCGGUAAUACGGAGGGUGCGAGCGUUAUCCGGAUUUACUGGGUUUAAAGCGCGUGCAGGUGGCUUCGUAAGUUGGACGUUAAAUCUUUCGGCCUAACCGGGAGGUGUCGUUCAAUACUGCGGGGCUUGAGGGUAGAAGAGGGCGGUGGAAUUGCCGGUGGAGUGGUGAAAUGCGUAGAUAUCGGCAGGAACACCUGUGGCGAAAGCGGCCCCCUGGUCUGCUCCUGACACUCAGACGCGAAAGCUAGGGGAGUGAACG